UUCUUCAUGACAACAGAACCACAACAACCAUGACUUUUAUUACCAUCUUCAUCUGGACACUUGCUUUCUGCUUUCAAGAAUCCAGAGGACAGUACACUGUGACUCAGACUCCUUCAGUGGAAACUGUUCUCCCAGGACAGAUGGUCUCUCUGAAGUGUAAAACCAGCAGUAAUGUUUACAACAGUGACAUUUUAGCCUGGUACCAACAGAAACCUGGAGGAGCUCCUAAACUCCUUAUUUACCGUGCUACAACACUUCAGUCUCGGACUCCAUCUAGAUUCAGUGGCAGUGGAUCUGGGAGUGACUUCACUCUGACCAUCAGUGAAGUCCAGGCUGAAGAUGCAGGAGAUUAUUACUGUCAGAGUGCACACCAUGUAAGUGCCUGGGUGUUCACACAGUGAUACAGAGCCGUACAAAAACCUCCCUCAGUCAGACUGCACAGUGACUGUACUGCUACAGCUGGGACCUACUGCAGGUACAGAGGGGGAAGAGACGGUGACAUGGAACACUGGUUACUAGAUGAGGUCAACUGUGACAUGUGACAAUAUGUUUAGAAAGCAAUCAUUCAGAUCACAUGACCAUAAUCAUCAUCAUCAUCAUGGUUAUUACUUAUAGUAUUUAUUAUGCCCUGAAAGUGUAUAUACAAGUUAUUAGAUGUUUUGAAACACAAUGCCUUUCCAUAU